rnacentral:piRNA from 1 species
UCCCAUGAUGGUGAUUCUUAAUUAGCAGGGC